CCAAUAGCGUAUAUUAAAGUUGUUGCAGUUAAAAAGCUCGUAGUUGAAUUUCGGGGUCAGUAGGUUGGUCAUGCCACUGGUAUGUACUGGUCUCACUGAUUCCUCCUUCCUGAUGAGCCGUAAUGCCAUUAAUUUGGUGUUGCGAGGAAUCUGGACUGUUACUUUGAAAAAAUUAGAGUGUUUAAAGCAGGCUAACGCUUGAAUACAUUAGCAUGGAGUAAUGAAAUAGGACGUUCGAUCUUAUUUUGUUGGUUUCUAAGAUUGACGUAAUGAUUAAUAGGGAUAGUUGGGGGCAUUAGUAUUCAAUUGUCAGAGGUGAAAUUCUUGGAUUUAUUGAAGACUAACUACUGCGAAAGCAUUUGCCAAGGAUGUUUUCAUUAAUCAAGAACGAAAGUUAGGGGAUCGAAGACGAUCAGAUACCGUCGUAGUCUUAACCAUAAACUAUGCCGACUAGGGAUCGGAUGAUGUUAAUUUUUUAAUGACUCAUUCGGCGCCUUACG
rnacentral:rRNA from 1 species